rnacentral:rRNA from 1 species
AUGUCUCGGUGGUCCCUAUCCCCGGUGGAGCGGUGCGGUGGCUGCGGCGAGGACGAGGCCGGCGGCUACUGGCGCCCCUCCCCUGCCUGGAUCUGGCCGGCUGGGACGCCUUCCCUCCAAAAGGCCCGUUUUGGGGUGGAAGGAGAUGCCUUCUACCCUCACUGGUCGGUGGCGUCCAUUAGCCGUCGUGGUGGUUGCGAUGGGGACUUGGAUGCCGGGACGGCGACCUCGAUGGUGGUGGUCGCGCUGCUUGUGGGCGGGGUGCGCGGCUCAGGUGUGGGCUGGUCGCUAUGGUCGUUUGGGCGGCGUGGCGGCCGGUGCUUCGGCAAGCGGUGA